rnacentral:rRNA from 1 species
UACGAAGGGUGCAAGCGUUACUCGGAAUUACUGGGCGUAAAGGGCGCGUAGGUGGCGCGGGCAGUCAACGGUGAAAGUUCGGGGCUCAACCCUGAAUCGGCCGUCGAUACUCCCGGGCUUGAGCACUGUAGAGGCAGAUGGAAUUCCGGGUGUAGCGGUGGAAUGCGUAGAGAUCCGGAAGAACACCGGUGGCGAAGGCGGUCUGCUGGGCAGUAGCUGACACUGAGGCGCGACAGCGUGGGGAGCAAACAGG